GCUUAGAGUUUGAUCCUGGCUCAGGAUGAACGCUGGCGGUAUGCUUAACACAUGCAAGUCGAACGGAGUACUUCGGUACUUAGUGGCGGACGGGUGAGUAACGCGUGAGAAUCUGCCUUCAGGAUGGGGAUAACAGUGGGAAACCAUUGCUAAUACCCAAUGAGCCGAGAGGUAAAAAAUUUAUUGCCUGAAGAGGAGCUCGCGUCCGAUUAGUUAGUUGGUGGGGUAAAGGCUUACCAAGACGGCGAUCGGUAGCUGGUCUGAGAGGAUGAGCAGCCACACUGGGACUGAGACACGGCCCAGACUCCUACGGGAGGCAGCAGUGGGGAAUUUUCCGCAAUGGGCGAAAGCCUGACGGAGCAAUACCGCGUGAGGGAGGAAGGCCUUUGGGUUGUAAACCUCUUUUCUUAAGGAAGAAGAUCUGACGGUACUUAAGGAAUCAGCAUCGGCUAACUCCGUGCCAGCAGCCGCGGUAAUACGGAGGAUGCAAGCGUUAUCCGGAAUUAUUGGGCGUAAAGCGUCCGCAGGCGGCACUAUAAGUCUGCUGUCAAAGACCGCAGCUCAACUGCGGAAAGGCAGUGGAAACUGUAGAGCUAGAGUACGGUAGGGGUAGAGGGAAUUCCCAGUGUAGCGGUGAAAUGCGUAGAGAUUGGGAAGAACACCAGUGGCGAAAGCGCUCUACUGGGCCGUAACUGACGCUCAGGGACGAAAGCUAGGGGAGCGAAAGGGAUUAGAUACCCCUGUAGUCCUAGCUGUAAACGAUGGAUACUAGGCGUAGCUUGUAUCGACCCGAGCUGUGCCGAAGCUAACGCGUUAAGUAUCCCGCCUGGGGAGUACGCACGCAAGUGUGAAAC
rnacentral:rRNA from 1 species